CAUGGCGCUCUCUCGGUUUCUCUUCGGCACAAAGCAUUCCUCGGGUCUUCCGAAUCAGCGACGUUUAAACUGCGGAUGUGUGGGAAGUGCCGCCUGUUGCGUUCAUUCACGCGGAAUUGCAAAAACUAAAUUCAGCGGAAUCGCAUGCCUGCGGCAAUUUCUACGUAUAAUGCCACUGGUAUAAUUUUGUACAAUAGGAGAUGAGAGAAGCGAUUAGCGAUUUAUUGAUAGAUAAUGAACACAGUUAACAAAAUUCUGUGUUGAAAGUUUCCUUGCUCUCAUCCUGUAAAUGACAAUCAGAUUUAUAAUCUGCAAUGAUAUUUUACAUAUGUUACAUAUGGCAUGAUAUUUUAUGUAGAUUUUUUCUAUUAAAAAAAGAAGGAAGCAAGAAAUGCCAUUAAAUGGUAUAAAUUUCUGAUUGAAUGUUAAAGAGUAAUCUAUUAUGUUAAGUGUUUCCUUCCUCACUUCUUGUAAAUGACAACAAUCUGCAGUCUAUCUUACAAUUAGGUUAAAAAAUCUAUUAAGAAAAGAAGGAAGUAAAAAGUGCAUUAAAUGGUCAUUUUUUGAUCACAUGUUAAAGAAGUGAUUUAUUAUGUUGGGUGUUUCCCUUCUCUCUCCUUGUAAAUGACAAUCUACAAUGUGUAUCUUAGGCUAAAGACUUUCUAUUAAGGGAAGAAGAAAGUAAAAAAUACAUAUCAUUAAAUGGUCAUAAAUUUCUGAUUGAAUGUUAAAGACUGAUCUACAGUUUAAUCUGUAAUAAUCACAGAUUGUCUCGAUAUGAAGUUGCCGCGUGCAUAGUGAAGAAAACCGAGAAGAAAGAACGCGUCGUUGCAUCGGUGUCGCAUAGUGUUUUAAAGUUCGUUCCGCGUUUAAAUACACGUCGCGUUUAAGUUCAUCGUCGAGCGACAAAUAAAUAUGAUAAUAAGCACUCGGCGAACUUCAAAUGCCGCGCAUCUUGGCUUUUGCGCGCCGCAUUGAAGGAAGAAAGUUUAAGCGGACCUUUCCGGCUACAUCGAAGCAGCAUCAUGGCAGGAAAGAAGUGUAUAGAUGGGCCGCACAGGGCAGAUGCCGGGGCAGCAUAUAUAUAUAUAAGGGUAACAUUACUGAUAAGCUGCGCGCGAGUUUGACCGCGAGAAUCUCGAGUGCCGAAUCGUUGUUUCGUGUUGAUUAUCGUUUUUUCUCAUUGUGCAACGUACGUGAAAUACGCGAGCGAUUUAUGCAUCGCGUCGGGAGUGCCGUGUUAAGUGUCGCGCGUCGGGAGUGCCGUGUAAAGUGUCGGGCGAUCGUAAUUUUUCAUGUUUUCGCGAGUGCUACUACCAAGAGAGGAGGAGGAGGCCUAGGGAGGCAUCGGGCGACAGCGGGACAACUAUGAGAUCGAUGUGCUGUGUACUACAAUUUUGCUUUUGCGCGUAUUGAUCUGUCUAGUCUGUUUAUAAACUCUGCUGUUAUUCGCCGAUCAAAAAGCAGUGGAGAUCCGGAAGGAUACUUAUUGCAUCUUGUAAAACCGCGAUCUUCCAGAUGGUGGACGUCUUUCCCCGUAGAAAGGAGCGAGACAGUGCAGGUUUUAACGUCCUUUUUACGACCCUUUAAAAUACCAUGGUCGCGGUAGCUCUACCGGGCUCUCUUAAUUAUUUUACGAGAAUUCCGACGACAAUGCUCAGUAGCAAAAACAAGCGGUAACACCUUGUCUACCUCUUGGCUUGCAAGCCAUAGAGAUUACGAGCAAACGCGUACAGUAUAGCGAAGUCAAAACUUGGACGAUAUACUCUCUCCAAAACUGUGAACCAGCGAUAAUCAACGGCAACAAGCGACGCGUGACCCGGAGAGAGCAUCUCUGUAGUUUGAUAGAAUUAUUUUUACACGCAUUUUUACAGUAACGGCCAUUAAAACGAUCGAUACGUCGAUGUAUGCGCGAAAUAACGGCGACAAAAUAACGUUUGUUUAUUUUUAUAUUUUUUUAUCGCAGUUUUUUAUCAAAGUUAGCACGAACCUGUCGCACUAAAUUUUAUUAGUUACGUUAUUCCCGUUGAUUGAUAACGACCCCGGGACUGAUUAAAUGGAAGAAGCGAUCGUAAUGUCGCUAAUCACGGACGCAUACUUUGCCGAAAGUUGCCGACGAUUUUACGACAUAAACCGUCCAUAUCUGUGUCACGCGAAAGAAUGACGAGGAGAUUCGCGCAUGAAUAAUGCAUUGACCCGUACGACAUCGGGAAAGAAACAUCAUCGGGCACGCGAGGUCGUCGUACCUCAGAAAAUUAAUAAUUUUCGACUUUCGUCUCAACCGGUCGAAAUGCGCGCAAUUAAUCACGCCGAUGUUCGCAAUAGCUUCUCCCAACGAAAUGCGAUUUCGCCCCUUGUCAAGGAAAAUCGAAAAUAUUUGUUUUAUUUAAUUUAUGAACACUGAAAUUUUAUGGCCACGAUUACCAUUGAUGUGGCUGAUUUAUCGAAGAAAGAAAAAGGUCGUCUGCGUCCGGCUAAUUUUUAAUCGACCGCGACUUUUACGCGUCUCUUCUGUCCGCGUCGACGCGGAAUUUCAAAAUCUCUAGAGCCCCGGAGGGCCCGUUUAACUCCGGUAUGGCUAAUAAUAGACCGUCUAAGUGUAGGGCCUACAAGAUUCUACGGUACAUUUACAUUUUUACGGUAAUCCUGUCUAUCGAAACUUUGAUCGAAUGUCUAUCUAAUUUUCAA